rnacentral:rRNA from 1 species
UACGAAGGGGGCUAGCGUUGCUCGGAAUCACUGGGCGUAAAGCGCACGUAGGCGGAUCUUUAAGUCAGGGGUGAAAUCCCGAGGCUCAACCUCGGAACUGCCUUUGAUACUGGGGAUCUCGAGUCCGGGAGAGGUGAGUGGAACUGCGAGUGUAGAGGUGAAAUUCGUAGAUAUUCGCAAGAACACCAGUGGCGAAGGCGGCUCACUGGCCCGGAACUGACGCUGAGACGCGAAAGCGUGGGGAGCGAACAGG